rnacentral:rRNA from 1 species
AUUGAACGCUGGCGGCAUGCCUAACACAUGCAAGUCGAGCGGAGCUGCGGACGGGUGAGUAAUGCCUAGGAAUCUGCCUGGUAGUGGGGGAUCACGUCCGGAAACGGGCGCUAAUACCGCAUAUUAUCAGAUGCGCCUAGGUCGGAUUAGCUAGUUGGUGGGGUAAAGGCCUACCAAGGCGACGAUCCGUAACUGGUCUGAGAGGAUGAUCAGUCACACUGAAACUCAGACACGGUCCAGACUCCGACGGGAGGCCGCAGUGGGGAAUAUUGUGAAAUUGGCGAAAGCCUGAUCCAGCCAUGCCGCGUGUGAGAAGAAGGUCUUCAGUUUGUAAAGCACUGUAAGUUUGGAGGGUUUGCCAACAGAAUAAGCACCAGCUAACUACGUGCCAGCAGCCGCGGUAAUAC